rnacentral:rRNA from 1 species
CCUACGGGAGGCAGCAGUGGGGAAUAUUGGACAAUGGGCGAAAGCCUGAUCCAGCAAUGCCGCGUGAGUGAUGAAGGCCUUCGGGUCGUAAAGCUCUUUUACCAGGGAUGAUAAUGACAGUACCUGGAGAAUAAGCUCCGGCUAACUCCGUGCCAGCAGCCGCGGUAAUACGGAGGGAGCUAGCGUUGUUCGGAAUUACUGGGCGUAAAGAGUACGUAGGCGGUUAUUCAAGUCAGAGGUGAAAGCCCGGGGCUCAACCCCGGAACUGCCUUUGAAACUAGAUAACUAGAGUCUUGGAGAGGUUAGUGGAAUUCCGAGUGUAGAGGUGAAAUUCGUAGAUAUUCGGAAGAACACCAGUGGCGAAGGCGACUAACUGGACAAGUACUGACGCUGAGGUACGAAAGCGUGGGGAGCAAACAGGAUUAGAUACCCUGGUAGUCCACGCCGUAAACGAUGAUAACUAGUUGUUCGGUCACUUGGUGACUGAGUGACGCANCUACGACAUAAUUAUCGCCUGGAGGUAGGUCGCAGAUAAACUUAAAUAGAUAGAGCGNGAGAGNGCGAGACGACACGAGGAGAGG